UAGGGAAUAUUGGGGAAUGGGCGAAAGCCUGACCCAGCAACGCCGCGUGCGCGAAGAAGGCCUUCGGGUUGUAAAGCGCUUUUCUCAGGGAUGAGGAAGGACAGUACCUGAGGAAUAAGUCUCGGCUAACUACGUGCCAGCAGCCGCGGUAACACGUAGGAGACGAGCGUUAUCCGGAUUUACUGGGUGUAAAGCGCGUGUAGGCGGCGAGGUAAGUUGGAUGUGAAAGCUCCUGGCUUAACUGGGAGA
rnacentral:rRNA from 1 species